rnacentral:sRNA from 15 species
CUUGUGCAUAGAAUUCUUUGUGUGAAUAGUCCGAAAGAAUAUUUAAAGAAUAUCGUUUAAAUGUAACAGAGUUCGUAAAAGAAGCUUGAAUGAAUUACUUUGGUCAGCCGCUGGAAAUUAAAUAUAAAAAGUAUGCAAAACGUGCGAUCAGGAUCUUCGUACGAUGGAGCGACGCUAUCAAGGCUACUGGAACUCACACAUGAUGGCUGACUAUUGUUGGAUCAUUCAGAACAGCCCUCUUUCAGCCUUCAGCUGCAAAAAGAAACUUUUCUUCAACUAAAGAUCUAAAUAAAAUAAUCCUCUGAAAUCAUCA